rnacentral:lncRNA from 1 species
CAAAUCGGGCGACGCGCUCUCCCCGGGUUUAGUCUCCCAUCGCAGUCGGCCCAGCGGGUCCCGCGGGCCCCCGCGCCCGGUUCCGCGGUCGGACACGAGAGCGCGCUGCUCGCCGAUUUGUUCGUAGAUCGCGGUGGUUCGCUCGUGCUCACAGAGGAAAAUCGGAGGAGCUACGGUGUAAACAAAUCAGGACAGCAAUGCUAGCAAAUCCAGUUUUCUCUAUGGUUCGUCUUCGACCGACUUUCGAAGUGUGAUUCGGGCCCUCCUUACUUCCCAAGUGUGUUAUUAUACUUAUGGUGCAGUGUUUCGUUGUUGAAGUAUGUCUUCGAGCUUUUAUAUUCUAAGACUAAGUAGAUACCGUUUGAAAAAUUCGAUUUUUCCCCCAACUAGAUUAUCAAAAAAAAGCUCAUUGCGUAUUCGACGCCUUGGUUCGGUGCAGUAUCGGGAGUGUUUUCUUACGCCAGGAUCCAAUGUUUGGAGUGAUUCGGAAAUUCUUAAGCAAGAUGGACACAGAGGAUAAAUUAAUCCUGAUCCUGAGUAUCUUCCUGUAAGUUGAUUCCAAUUUUAUUUUUUUCCCCUUUUUCUAAUUGGUUUAUCCGUUCCAAAGAUACUGUUCUUUGUGGGUACACCAAAUGGUUUAUAAAGUAGCCAAUGCAGCAACUUUUCUACUGUUCUUCCUGGUUUUGUUGCUGCCUCUGCUGUUGCAUUUGUUGCCUUGGCUAUUGUCGUGGCUGCUCAAAUAUUAGUGGUAUCACGCCCUACAGCACAUAUUUUAACAUGGUGCAUUACAAAUGUCAACCUUGAAUAAAGAUGAUACAAAGACAAUAACUUUUAUUUGGCGUGAGCCAACCUACUUCCUAACUUGACAGCUUUAUUGGUGAAACUUUUCAGCCAUAAGACGGUAACUUUUGGAGGAGAAUUUGAGGAUUGAGAGUAAAUCAACUCCUCCCGCUAUCCUCAGCAGCUUUCGCUCCAAAAACUCCUCCAAUUAUUCGUACAGCUUUUGGGCCAAAAAGCUCCAGUUACUAUUUAACCAACAAACAGAGAAAUUGGCGUCUAUUUUACAACUAA